rnacentral:rRNA from 1 species
GAUGAACGCUGGCGGCGUGCCUAAUACAUGCAAGUCGAGCGAACGGACGAGAAGCUUGCUUCUCUGAUGUUAGCGGCGGACGGGUGAGUAACACGUGGAUAACCUACCUAUAAGACUGGGAUAACUUCGGGAAACCGGAGCUAAUACCGGAUAAUAUUUUGAACCGCAUGGUUCAAAAGUGAAAGACGGUCUUGCUGUCACUUAUAGAUGGAUCCGCGCUGCAUUAGCUAGUUGGUAAGGUAACGGCUUACCAAGGCAACGAUGCAUAGCCGACCUGAGAGGGUGAUCGGCCACACUGGAACUGAGACACGGUCCAGACUCCUACGGGAGGCAGCAGUAGGGAAUCUUCCGCAAUGGGCGAAAGCCUGACGGAGCAACGCCGCGUGAGUGAUGAAGGUCUUCGGAUCGUAAAACUCUGUUAUUAGGGAAGAACAUAUGUGUAAGUAACUGUGCACAUCUUGACGGUACCUAAUCAGAAAGCCACGGCUAACUACGUGCCAGCAGCCGCGGUAAUACGUAGGUGGGCAGCGUUAUCCCGAAUUUAUGGGCGUAAAGCGCGCGUAGGCGGUUUUUUAGUCUGAUGUGAAAGCCCACGGCUCAACCGUGGAGGGUCAUUGGAAACUGGAAAACUUGAGUGCAGAAGAGGAAAGUGGAAUUCCAUGUGUAGCGGUGAAAUGCGCAGAGAUAUGGAGGAACACCAGUGGCGAAGGCGACUUUCUGGUCUGUAACUGACGCUGAUGUGCGAAAGCGUGGGGAUCAAACAGGAUUAGAUACCCUGGUAGUCCACGCCGUAAACGAUGAGUGCUAAGUGUUAGGGGGUUUCCGCCCCUUAGUGCUGCAGCUAACGCAUUAAGCACUCCGCCUGGGGAGUACGACCGCAAGGUUGAAACUCAAAGGAAUUGACGGGGACCCGCACAAGCGGUGGAGCAUGUGGUUUAAUUCGAAGCAACGCGAAGAACCUUACCAAAUCUUGACAUCCUUUGACAACUCUAGAGAUAGAGCCUUCCCCUUCGGGGGACAAAGUGACAGGUGGUGCAUGGUUGUCGUCAGCUCGUGUCGUGAGAUGUUGGGUUAAGUCCCGCAACGAGCGCAACCCUUAAGCUUAGUUGCCAUCAUUAAGUUGGGCACUCUAAGUUGACUGCCGGUGACAAACCGGAGGAAGGUGGGGAUGACGUCAAAUCAUCAUGCCCCUUAUGAUUUGGGCUACACACGUGCUACAAUGGACAAUACAAAGGGCAGCGAAACCGCGAGGUCAAGCAAAUCCCAUAAAGUUGUUCUCAGUUCGGAUUGUAGUCUGCAACUCGACUACAUGAAGCUGGAAUCGCUAGUAAUCGUAGAUCAGCAUGCUACGGUGAAUACGUUCCCGGGUCU